GAACCCAAAAACACUGUACAUUGAACAGUGUUUUUGGGUUAAAUUUCCAACUCUGUCCCUUGAUAUUUAGCAUAACUGCCUCCGUACCCUUUCCUUCAAUUUUCUUUUUCUAAUGAAAUUAGGUUUAGCGGUGGUCUUCUCUUUAUCGCCGCCUCUCUCUACCUACGCCUCUUCUUGCAAUUCAUUCUCCGUCGACUUUGAAGAAGAUAUUUAUGCUUCAUCAAAUCACAGAUCCGUCAAGGAAGAAGACAACACAGAUGGAUGUUGAAAGCGAUCACAGUGGUUUCUCUAACUUUAGUUCUGACUCAAACAUCAGCGGCAGGCGUCGAACAUGUCUUUACCGAUCACGUCUCAGUUUGAUCCUCUUCUGUUUUCCUCGACGUGUUUGAUGUCGACCUCUCUUUUUUAUCUCCCUACCUCUCUCUUUAAUACCUAAUCAUGUAUGUCUUUUAGUUUGUCUUUUACUUUUUUGUUUUUCAUGAAUCAGUGAUGAUAGAAGUACUGCUCUCAAUAUCUCAGACUCUAUUUUAAUUAUCUUUUAAUCUUUCAGGCUGGAAUACAGUAAAAUAUGAUUUACGACGCCACUACUAUUGAGAAAGCUGAUCUUCUACUGUUUAGCAGGCAAUUGAUCCAAUAACAUGCAAAUGUCUGUACAAAAUGCUCAAUCGAGAUGUAUUUCAUGAAUAAAUGGCACACUUCUACUGCGAAAGAGAAUCUAAUGAUUGUGCUAGAUGAUAAACUGAGGCAAUCAAGUGAGUUUCUUCAUUAUUGAUGUAAUGCAAUGAAUAUAUGGUUCAUUUAUAGUUCAAUAAAAGAAUUUUGAUGCAUUUUAGCGUUGGUUAUAUGAAAAUCGAAUGAGCAGCUACGGAGCAGAUGUGUGAAUAUACUUUGCAUUGGCAUUGAUGGAAAAAUUUGAAUGGGCUCAAGGUUAUAGAAAACAUUUUUGUUUGCUUUAUAUGGAUUAUAAGAAUGGUCUUGCCCGACACCCAAAAUCUUUAGCAUAUUGUUAAUUACGUUGUCCUUCAUCGGAAUUUUAAGAGCUUUUUUUUAUAAUGUAAAUUGACAGUAUCAUUGGUUACUUUGAAUCUUUCGCAGGUUGCCGGUGCGAUGUCAACAAAAAUUGAGAAGGAUUACCUUUGCCUAUAUGGAUUUUUCAAUGAAUAGUAGUAUCAAUCUGGCUGUUGAAGAGGUGCCUCC